rnacentral:rRNA from 1 species
UGGGGAAUAUUGCACAAUGGGCGCAAGCCUGAUGCAGCGACGCCGCGUGGGGGAUGACGGCCUUCGGGUUGUAAACCUCUUUCAGUAUCGGCGAAGCUCUCAAGUUUUCUUGGGGGUGACGGUAGGUACAGAAGAAGCACCGGCCAACUACGUGCCAGCAGCCGCGGUAAUACGUAGGGUGCGAGCGUUGUCCGGAAUUACUGGGCGUAAAGAGCUCGUAGGUGGUUUGUCGCGUUGUUCGUGAAAACUCACAGCUCAACUGUGGGCGUGCGGGCGAUACGGGCAGACUGGAGUACUGUAGGGGAGACUGGAAUUCCUGGUGUAGCGGUGGAAUGCGCAGAUAUCAGGAGGAACACCGGUGGCGAAGGCGGGUCUCUGGGCAGUAACUGACGCUGAGGAGCGAAAGCGUGGGGAGCGAACA